GGAGGAAUAUUGGGCAAUGGACGAAAGUCUGACCCAGCAACGCCGCGUGAAGGAUGAAGGCCUUCGGGUCGUAAACUUCUUUUAGGGGAGACGAGAAAGGACGGUAUCCCCAGAAUAAGCCACGGCUAACUACGUGCCAGCAGCCGCGGUAAAACGUAGGUGGCGAGCGUUAUCCGGAUUCAUUGGGCGUAAAGAGCUUGUCGGUGGUGCGAUAAGUUGGACGUGAAAACUCCGGGCGUAACUUGGAGAGGCCGUUCAAUACUGUUGUGCUAGAGGGCGUCAGAGGGAAGUGGAAUUCCUGGGGUAGCAGUGAAAUGCGUAGAUAUCAGGAGGAACACCCGUGGCGAAGGCGGCUUCCUGGGACGUACCUGACACUGAGAAGCGAAAGCUAGGGGAGCAAACG
rnacentral:rRNA from 1 species